UUCUUCUUCCUUUAUAGUACAGGCCUCCCAGGGGAGUAUUAUCGUACUGUUUUAAGUACAUGUUCGAUGUGAGAACAACAAAUGUGCGGUAAGUGCGGAUUAUCUACAGUGAAAACGGUGAUUCUUUAAAAUAACGAUAAAAACAAGGUUGUACAUCUAUCGAAGCUGGACCACUUGCACACCCCUUUUGAAUGAUUCAAGAGUUGUGCAGCUUACUAUGUGUUGUGGUAGUCCAUUCCAGAUUCUGAUGGUAUCUGGGAAAAACGAGUGACGAUAUACUUGAGUCCUGGCAUAAGGAACGAGGAAUCGUUCAUUGUGUCCUCUUACUGUUGAUAUUACUG
rnacentral:lncRNA from 1 species